ensembl:lncRNA novel transcript
GACUUCAGGUGGAUUGGCUGUUGUGGGGAGAGGCAGUGAGGGAGUCACAGCGGGCUCCACUUCUCUCUGGCCUGGGCAGGAACUGACAUGAUGAGUGACACGAGUUCUGGAAGCUUGGAGGUGAGCCCUGGUAGCCGGGAGACUUCAUUUGCUACCGUG